GUAAAUUCUGGAAGGCGCCAGGAGUUGCGCAAUGAUGUUUUUAUUCCUUCUGGCCGUCCUCGACAUACCAGCCACCGUAAUAAAAAGGCGCUGGUACAGCGCAGACCACGGCAAAGCUCACUGCGCCUUCCUUGGAGCACCACUCACUUGCAAGCACCAAGAAAGCCACGAUGAAGAAGCUGGUGCUCAUAUUGGUCGUCGUUCUUCUCUGCGAAGUGGCACUAACGGAAGCGGCACGUCCUGCUCCCGCAAGAGGCGGCGGUGGGAAGAAACCGGUGCUUUGUAAUGGUAAAAGAUGUAAACCGAACGAGUACUGCCAAGAAGGUCUUUUUGCACCCACGCAAUGUCUUCCGAAAGAUUACCGACGAUGACAAGUUCCUGCCCAUGAAGGAAAAUCGUUUCCGAAAGAAACCUGCGGCACGGAAAAAACACACGAGGAACAUGAGCGGCAUCAACCUUCUGACUAACUGAAUAAAGUUACUCGUACUCAGAAA